AUUGAACGCUGGCGGCAGGCCUAACACAUGCAAGUCGAACGAGUGGCGGACGGGUGAGUAAUGUCUGGGAAACUGCCCGAUGGAGGGGGAUAACUACUGGAAACGGUAGCUAAUACCGCAUACCAUCGGAUGUGCCCAGCUGGGAUUAGCUAGUCGGUGGGGUAACGGCUCACCUGGGCGACGAACCCUAGCUGGUCUGAGAGGAUGACCAGCCAGACUGUAACUGGUACACGGUCCAGACUCCUACGGGAGGAAGCAGUGGGGAAUAUUGCACAAUGGGCGCAAGCCUGAUGCAGCCAUGCCGCGUGUAUGAAGGAGGCCUUCGGGUUGUAAAGUACUUUCAGCGAGGAGGCGUUACUCGGAGAAGAAGCACCGGCUAACUCCGGGCCAGCAGCCGCGGGAAUAC
rnacentral:rRNA from 1 species